UACAAAGAAGGCAAAAUCUCAAACCCUCUGCAGUACCUGACAAAGGCAUUUGCUUCAUAACUCUUGUUAGGAGACUUAGGAAGAAUGUUGCUUUUCUAGAUCUGUGCUUCCAAAAUGGAUGAUUUCGGAUUUAAAUGGAAAACAUAACAGGAGAAACUUGGAAGACAUCACCUAUCCCAACACUGAUCAACAAUGACAUAAAACAUAUCUGUAGGUAUCACACAUAUGUCCCCUGAGGGAAGGUACUUUCCUUCUUACCUCAUGGAGCAUCCAUCUGACAAAACAACCACACAAAUACAGUGAAGAGACACUCAGGAAGUGACUCAUCAGUGCUUCCCAAGCCUCUUUAUGAAAGUCAAGG
rnacentral:lncRNA from 1 species